AGGCAAAUCAAACCACAGGAUAUGACGGAUAUGAACAUUACAUGGGGAUGCAAGACGCCACCUCAGAUGAGGACAUCGAAGCUUGAAGGAGAGAUGACUUUUUCUCUGAGGAACUUCGGUGCCAGUGAUGGAACCAGGUGGCUUCUUACCUCACACGCUUAUCUUGGUGACAAUGGAAAUUCUGUUUUGGCUGGUGGCUUUGGUGUAAAAUUGAAAGAAAUUUCCACAGAUUAUUGAUAAUCAGAGAGCAGUACCAUCCCUUCACCUAUAAGGUUAAUUCUGAGAAUAUUUUUCCAGGUAUAAAAGAACAGAGAAUAAAGACAUUCACUGUCACUUUUACCCACCACGUUCAGUGAUUUGAAUGCCCAGCCAAUGAGAAGACAAUAAAAAUUAUAGUUAUACAGCAUCUUAUACCUCUUGUACAUGAUGUUGGGUGUGGUGGCAUGUAGCAGUCACUUCUACACUCAGAAAGCUGAGGCAGGAGGAUGGUUAGUUCAAGGCCAGCAUACAUAAAGGCCUUGGCUAAGUGGGAGAAUGUUUACCUAGUAUGCAUAAGGCCUCAGGCUUAAUUCCUAGCACUUUGAAACAACUUCUCAUGAGCCCUACUUAAUAAUAUAGCAUAAUACUAAGAUUUAUGAUGUAAAAGUAUACAAUAUACAGUAUAUACACUGUAAUGCCAACUUUAUAAGUGUUUGCAUAUGUACAAAAAAGUAUAGAGAAAUAUAGAUGUUAAAUAU